rnacentral:rRNA from 1 species
AACGAACGCUGGCGGCAGGCCUAACACAUGCAAGUCGAACGCCCGUAGCAAUACGGGAGUGGCAGACGGGUGAGUAACGCGUGGGAACGUACCCUUUGAUUCGGAACAACUCCGGGAAACUGGAGCUAAUACCGGAUGAGCCCUACGGGGGAAAGAUUUAUCGCCGAAGGAUCGGCCCGCGUAGGAUUAGCUAGUUGGUGAGGUAACGGCUCACCAAGGCGACGAGCCGUAGCUGGUCUGAGAGGAUGAUCAGCCACACUGGGACUGCGACACGGCCCAGACUCCUACGGGAGGCAGCGGUGGGGAAUAUUGGACAAUGGGCGCAAGCCUGAUCCAGCCAUGCCGCGUGAGUGAUGAAGGCCUUAGGGUUGUAAAGCUCUUUCGCCAGGGACGAUAAUGACGGUACCUGGAUAAGAAGCCCCGGCUAACUUCGUGCCAGCCGCCGCAGUAA